GACGAACGCUGGCGGCGUGCUUAACACAUGCAAGUCGAACGGAAAGGCCCUGCUUUUGUGGGGUGCUCGAGUGGCGAACGGGUGAGUAACACGUGAGUAACCUGCCCUUGACUUUGGGAUAACUUCAGGAAACUGGGGCUAAUACCGGAUAGGAGCUCCUGCUGCAUGGUGGGGGUUGGAAAGUUUCGGCGGUUGGGGAUGGACUCGCGGCUUAUCAGCUUGUUGGUGGGGUAGUGGCUUACCAAGGCUUUGACGGGUAGCCGGCCUGAGAGGGUGACCGGCCACAUUGGGUCUGAGAUACGGCCCAGACUCCUACGGGAGGCAGCAGUGGGGAAUAUUGCACAAUGGGCGGAAGCCGGAUGCAGCAACGCCGCGUGCGGGAUGACGGCCUUCGGGUUGUAAACCGCUUUCGCCUGUGACGAAGCGUGAGUGACGGUAAUGGGUAAAGAAGCACCGGCUAACUACGUG
rnacentral:rRNA from 1 species